CACAGUCAAGGGUUCUAAUGACUUGGGCACAAUGCCUCUUCAGUUCUUUUAAGGAAAAUGAUGAACUUUUUUCUUUCUCCUCAGCAAGUUAUCUGAGUAAUGUAAAAGCUCAUAAACUGAGAUUCAGGGAGACACUGUCAAUGAGGCACUAUACUGAACAAUUAAAACGUAAGACACAUCUUGUAUAAUUAAAUUGAUUUUUUUUUCUGCCAGAAACAAGACCUUCUCAGGUUAACAUAUGUGUUUCUAUGCCUGACUCUCAACCUUGGACCUGUACCUCUGCAAUCACUUGGCCCUGGAUGGAUGAGGGAGGGUGGCAUGUGAAUAGAAACUGGACCAGGGAGACCACCAAGGAAUGAUGUGCCCUCGAGCAAGAGUCUCGCUCUAUUGCCCAGGUUGGAGUGCAGUGGCGCGAUCUCGGCUCCCUGCAGCCUCCGCCUACCGGCUUCAAGUGAUUCUCCUGCCUCAGCCUCCUGACUUUUUCUUUUUCUUUUCUUUUUUUCUUUCUUUUUUUUUUUUUUUUACAGUGGAUCCUGCAUUAGAAAACCACCAACUUAUUGUAACUUUUAGUUAAUUAUAAAAAGAUAACUUUGUCAUUGUUCAAUCUUAUAAAACAAUGAAACCAAGUAUAAACUAUUUUAAGUAAAUUGCUUUUAUGGGAUUUCUCUUUUCAGAAUUGACUGUGGCUCCAUGGUUUGUUGUAAUUAAUUAAACCGUGUUCAUUUGGAG
rnacentral:lncRNA from 1 species